UCCUACGGGAGGCAGCAGUGAGGAAUAUUGGACAAUGGGCGAAAGCCUGAUCCAGCUAUGCCGCGUGCAGGAAGACGGCCCUAUGGGUUGUAAACUGCUUUUGUACGGGAAGAAACACCCCCACGUGUGGGGGCUUGACGGUACCGUAAGAAUAAGCAUCGGCUAACUCCGUGCCAGCAGCCGCGGUAAUACGGAGGAUGCAAGCGUUAUCCGGAAUCAUUGGGUUUAAAGGGUCCGUAGGCGGGCAAUUAAGUCAGAGGUGAAAUUCUGCGGCUCGACCGUAGAACUGCCUUUGAAACUGGUUGUCUUGAAUCGUUGUGAAGUGGUUAGAAUGAGCAGUGUAGCGGUGAAAUGCUUAGAGAUUGCUCAGAAUACCGAUUGCGAAGGCAGAUCACUAACAACGUAUUGACGCUGAGGGACGAAAGCGUGGGGAGCGAACAGGAUUAGAUACCCUGGUAGUCCACGCCGUAAACGAUGGAUACUAGCUGUCCGGUCUUCGGACUGGGUGGCCAAGCGAAAGUGAUAAGUAUCC
rnacentral:rRNA from 1 species